UACGUAGGGGGCAAGCGUUGUCCGGAUUCAUUGGGCGUAAAGAGUGUGUAGGCGGUGCUCCAAGUCUGGUGUGAAAUCUCCCGGCUCAACUGGGAGGGUGCAUUAGAAACUGGAAUGCUAGAGGAUGGGAGAGGUAAGCGGAAUUCCUGGUGUAGCGGUGAAAUGCGUAGAUAUCAGGAGGAACACCUGUGGUGUAGACAGCUUACUGGACCAUUUCUGACGCUGAGACACGAAAGCGUGGGUAGCAAACAGG
rnacentral:rRNA from 1 species